AUUGAACGCUGGCGGCAUGCUUUACACAUGCAAGUCGAACGGGGUUGGGAGCUUGCUUCCAAUCUAGUGGCGAACGGGUGAGUAAUACAUCGGAACGUACCGUGUAGUGGGGGAUAACGUAGCGAAAGUUACGCUAAUACCGCAUACGAUCCACGGAUGAAAGCAGGGGGACCUUCGGGCCUUGUGCUAUACGAGCGGCCGAUGUCUGAUUAGCUAGUUGGUGAGGUAAAGGCUCACCAAGGCGACGAUCAGUAGCGGGUCUGAGAGGAUGAUCCGCCACACUGGGACUGAGACACGGCCCAGACUCCUACGGGAGGCAGCAGUGGGGAAUUUUGGACAAUGGGCGCAAGCCUGAUCCAGCCAUGCCGCGUGUCUGAAGAAGGCCUUCGGUUG
rnacentral:rRNA from 1 species